GGGAGGCAGCAGUAAGGAAUAUUGGUCAAUGCCCGCAAGGGUGAACCAGCCAUUCCGCGUGGAGGAUGAAGGCCCUAUGGGUUGUAAACUUCUUUUAGAUGGGAAGAAAAUGCUAGAAUUUUCUGGUACUGACGGUACCAUCAGAAUAAGCACCGGCUAACUCCGUGCCAGCAGCCGCGGUAAUACGGAGGGUGCGAGCGUUAUCCGGAAUUACUGGGUUUAAAGGGUGCGUAGGCGGAUGAUUAAGUCUAAGGUGAAAGUUUGUCGCUUAACGAUAAAAUUGCCUUGGAUACUGGUUAUCUUGAAUAAGGAUGAGGAUGGCGGAAUGUGGCAUGUAGCGGUGAAAUGCAUAGAUAUGCCAUAGAACACCAAUUGCGAAGGCAGCUAUCUGGUCUUUUAUUGACGCUGAGGCACGAAAGCGUGGAAAUGGAACAGGAUUAGAUACCC
rnacentral:rRNA from 1 species